UACUCCUUCCCAAAUUUCAGCCCUGGUCAGAAGUCUCCACUGCUGCUAAACACUUCAUACAAUCUCUGAUUUGCAAGGACCCAAAAGCGAGGCUAACGGCUGAGGAGGCUCUACUUCAUCCAUGGAUCCAGGAGUCUAUAUUCUACACAAGGUGUAUUAAUUUACACAACACAGUCAGCUCCAAUAUUCUUCGACAACGAUCUAUGAAGGCGAUAUUGAGGAUGUCAGUUGAUAAUCAUUCAGAUACAACUAAACUCCUAUCAAAUUGAAAUUGGAAGAGCACUAAGACAAAAUAAAUACCAGAUACAAUUAUUUCCCAUUUUCAGAUUCUUGAACAUAAUUGAGAACAGUUUCGAGUAAGUGAGUGAAACUUUCCAUUGCAUGAUUUAGACGUGUGUGUAGCGCGCAAUAACUAAUAAUGAGGUUUUGCGCACGCGCGUAUAAUAUAUAUGGUCCGGCCGGUAUAUAACGUAUAUAUAUGUGUGUAUGCACGUACGUUUAUGUACCGCCACUUCACCGGGCGAUUUCUUUUUGGAUCUACUCCAAUGUCAAAUGUCGCUGUUCCUAUUAUAUACAUAUUGUAUUUUGGCUGUAAUUAACAUUAGUAAAUUAAUAUUUCAUCUAAAUAUUGAAUAUUACAAUAAUCUGUAACCAUCCAUCCUCUUACU